rnacentral:rRNA from 1 species
UACAGGGGGUGCAACCGUUGCUCGGAAUUAUUGGGCGUAAAGCGCACGUAGGCGGUUCGUUAUGUCAGAUGUGAAAGCCCUUGGCUCAACUGAGGAAGUGCAUCUGAAACUGGCGAGCUAGAGUAUGUAAGAGGGUCGCGGAAUUCCCGGUGUAGAGGUGAAAUUCGUAGAUACCAUGACGACUGGUAAAGGCGAAAGCAACCUUUUAUCUAAUAACUGACGUUGAGGGACGAAGGCUCGGGUCGCGAACAGG